ACACUGACAGACACACUGCCACACACAGUGACAGACACACUGUUACACACUGACAGACACUGUGACAUACCCACACUAACACACUGACAGACACACUGUAACACACUGACACACACACUGAAACACACUGACACACACACUGACAGACACACACUGACAGACACAUUAUAUGAAAUGAUGGUACAAACAGAUAUGGAGAUAGAAUGUAU